rnacentral:misc_RNA from 1 species
AUCUGAUUCACUAUAUGGAAGUCAAAGUCAACAUUUCUGUAAGUCUUGGAUAUGUCAGAAUUGAAAGAUUUUUCAAGUAGCUUUGGGUACUUGCUGAGAUCAAUAUUUAGUUCCUUCUGUGAUCCUUCUAAUUGGUUUAGCGGACUAAUUGCAUUCAGCUUAUGCUUUAGCUCUGUAAGGAUGGAUUUCUGAUCAACAGGAGACAUGAGGCCUUGAACUGACUUGAUGUUUGCCAAUGUUUGUUCAAUUUCAUGACUGACCUGAUCAAUUACUUCUUGGGACUUGGAGGAUGACAGCUUUUGCCUUUUUGCAACACGCUCAAAUGUAUCUCUUACAGUACUCAGCUGUUGGUCAAAUGCAUCUUUUACUGUGCCCAGCUCCAUUCCUGAAAUUGAAUCCCAGACUCGAAUUUUCGAUACAAGGUAAAUUAAGAAAAGAAAGAGAACGCAAGAAAUUCGAUUAGAAG